ensembl:lncRNA
AUGGAACAUUGGCUGUGGAUUAUUCUUGCUGCUCUUUUCUUUGGACUAAUAGCUGGAGACACAAUCUCUCCUGUAGGAGAUAAAGUCAGUGGAAGAGAAGGAGAAUCUGUCACACUCAGAUGUCGAUAUGAGACAGCUGGCAGCUAUAUAGACCUUCACUGGUACAGACAUUCUGACCUUCAGGCUCCUCAGUUUAUACUCUUGAAAGGAGCAAAAGGAUCUUCAGCUGAAUAUAUUCCAGAUAAACGAUAUGAAUCUAAAACAACAAGAUCAACAACUGAACUGACCAUCAGAAAACUAACCCUGGCAGACACAGCUCUCUACUACUGUGCUCUAGAAACACAGUGAUACAAAGUGUAGAAGAGGCUGUACAAAAACCUGAACACAGAUAUCUGACUACUCUUCAAAGAGGAGGGAAGUGGUAUUCAAACCACAGCUUCAUAUCAGAUGGAUUCUGCUAAUUCCUGUUUUAUCAGAGUCACUGUGGUUACAGCUGCUAAUGAAACACUGUGGGAGGAUUCACAUGAGCAGCAAAUCCACAUCAAUGACAAACCAACUGGAUGAUGCUUCAAACACAAGACACCAUGGAAACAAAUAAAUCAACACUGAAAAUUAAAAUGAGUAAUAUGUGACAACUGAACAACAACGUGUCCAACAUUGAAUCUUUUAAAUAAAUAGAUUUGUAACUUAAUUAUGUAUCUAAAGUGCAUUUAUCAUACAUUGUUUUAUUCCUAUAACAUUUCUAUUUGUUUCCCAACAUUUACCAGGUCAGACUGGGUCCAGUAUUUUAUAGCUCAAAUAUUCAGUCAUAUACUGAGCAUACUGAGCUGAUCUGUUACCAGCUGGACUGGGUACAGUCUGUAUUUUCCUGGGCAGAAGUCCACCUUUACAGUUUUUGGUCUUUAACAUUUGUAUUCAGUUUUGAGUGAACUGCAGUAAAUGAUGGACUGUUAAUUGGCAAUCAUAUAAGACAGGGCUGUGAAUGAGGCCUGUCAGUGUGAUCAUUUCAAUUUCAAUUCAGUUUUAUAUUAAGUUAGUAAGUGUGUAAUUAUAUUUACUGUUAUAUUUAACUCCACUACUGAUAAAUCAUACAGUUUGAAUCAAGGAUCUCCAUAAACUGGUUGACAACCCAGACUCAGGUUUUGAUUGCUCCUGUCUUUAUAUUUACUAAAGAAGUUUCUGUGAUUGUGGUGUACCACAGGGUUUGAUCCUGGGUCCUGUUCAUUUCUAUUUUGGUAAAUGCAUUUUAAACACAAUAUAGAUUUCCAUUGUUUUGCUGACAAUGAUGUAUUCCAUAAGUUUACAUGAUUAUUAUUCUAUUCAAAUUGUCUAUCAUUGAGUACACCUUUUGUAGUUUCUCUACAAUGAGUUUGAACAUCACACUGCUGUGAAAUGAAAGAGAACUGAAUUUGUACCUGGAGGCCUCAAUGAUGGAGUUAGUAGCUUUAAGGAGCUUUCAACCAAGUGUAAUGGUUCAGGGUUCAUCCAAAGAGAAAGACUGGAGUGGUUUCUGAUAACACAUUAAAUAACUAUGGGGAACACUAUAUUGUGAAACAGCAAGAACCCUGAACAAGAGACUGAAUGAACAACAGAAACAGACAACAUCAGCUGUCUGAGAACUCCAGACCAAAAUCAGUCCCAGCAUUGACUGGGAAGGAGUCAAAGUCAUCGACCACAAGUCAUCCACCACACUGUAAGAAAGUAAAAUUAAAGUAAAAUACCCUAAUUCAAAUAAUGUGUAAAAACAUUAAAUUUACAUCAACAUUUUUACAGAAAAAUAUCGUUAUUUUACAGAUUUUUCCCAAAUAAUUAUGAUCAAUCACCUCCAAUAAAGGGACAAUUCUAAAAGUUCUGCAGGAAAAUAUGAUUAUUUUACAGAUUUUUUCUAAAU